GUGGAUUAGAUACCCUGGUAGUCCACGCGGUAAACGAUGACGACUAGGUGUGGGGGGGUUAAGUCCCUUCCGUGCCGCAGCUAACGCAUUAAGUCGUCCGCCUGGGGAGUACGGCCGCAAGGUUGAAACUCAAAGGAAUUGACGGGGGCCCGCACAAGCGGUGGAGCAUGUGGUUCAAUUCGAUGCAGAGCGAAGAACCUUACCUGGGCUUGACAUGUAGGAAGUAGAAACCGGAAACGGGGACGACCUGUUGAGUCAGGAGCCUACACAGGUGGUGCAUGGCUAUCGACAACU
rnacentral:rRNA from 1 species